UGCAAGUCGAACGAUGAACCCGCUUCGGUGGGGGAUUAGUGGCGAACGGGUGAGUAACACGUGGGCAAUCUGCCCUUCACUCUGGGACAAGCCCUGGAAACGGGGUCUAAUACCGGAUAACACCGGCCUUCGCAUGGGGGCUGGUUGAAAGCUCCGGCGGUGAAGGAUGAGCCCGCGGCCUAUCAGCUUGUUGGUGGGGUGAUGGCCUACCAAGGCGACGACGGGUAGCCGGCCUGAGAGGGCGACCGGCCACACUGGGACUGAGACACGGCCCAGACUCCUACGGGAGGCAGCAGUGGGGAAUAUUGCACAAUGGGCGAAAGCCUGAUGCAGCGACGCCGCGUGAGGGAUGACGGCCUUCGGGUUGUAAACCUCUUUCAGCAGGGAAGAAGCGAAAGUGACGGUACCUGCAGAAGAAGCGCCGGCUAACUACGUGCCAGCAGCCGCGGUAAUACGUAGGGCGCAAGCGUUGUCCGGAAUUAUUGGGCGUAAAGAGCUCGUAGGCGGCUUGUCGCGUCGGAUGUGAAAGCCCGGGGCUUAACCCCGGGUCUGCAUUCGAUACGGGCAGGCUAGAGUGUGGUAGGGGAGAUCGGAAUUCCUGGUGUAGCGGUGAAAUGCGCAGAUAUCAGGAGGAACACCGGUGGCGAAGGCGGAUCUCUGGGCCAUUACUGACGCUGAGGAGCGAAAGCGUGGGGAGCGAACAGGAUUAGAUACCCUGGUAGUCCACGCCGUAAACGUUGGGAACUAGGUGUUGGCGACAUUCCACGUCGUCGGUGCCGCAGCUAACGCAUUAAGUUCCCCGCCUGGGGAGUACGGCCGCAAGGCUAAAACUCAGAGGAAUUGACGGGGGCUCGCACAAGCAGCGGAGCAUGUGGCUUAAUUCGACGCAACGCGAAGAACCUUACCAAGGCUUGACAUACA
rnacentral:rRNA from 1 species